UUUCGUUUCAAUCACUAAAGCGAUGCUGUUUCCCAUUGCAUUUAAGGGUUGACUGUGUAAGAACCGUGGCUCAGGGAUGCUUCUUCUCUUCCACUUCUUUGCUAACUGUGGAUUUGAAAUUCAAAAGCCUCCUCCUACUCCCCCACUGAGAGUUUCAGAACCUGUUAAUCCCCUGGAAUCUUUGCACUCUCAAGGGACCCUGUCACUUCUUUUGCCUAAGCUGUAAGUGUAGCUGAAGGAAGGGGCUAUUACAGGCUGACAUUCUGUGUAUUACAUCUCAUCACCUCCUCACACCUUGGACCCCAGCUUCCUCAAACAAGUCCCUCAUCAGACCUUUACCCUCAUGACUUAACCUGUAGAUGCUCUUUACCUUGAGCUUAAGGAGUGCUUUUCUUCCUAGCCCAAUGCAUUCACCCUAAAAGACCUAGAAUUCCUUCCCAAGACUUCUGUUUUUCAAAACCAAGAGACAACCAGGUGGAGCAGGAGCUGAGGGGGGAGAGAAGAGAGCCCUAGAGCCUUCAGUGCAAACCUUGCAACGCAUGCAGAAGGACUGCCAGCCUGCCAACUCUUCCACCAUCAUUGUCUCUUCUUCUGCCUCUGAUAUUUUGUCCCAAACUCUGAC
rnacentral:lncRNA from 1 species